rnacentral:rRNA from 1 species
UACGUAGGGGGCAAGCGUUGUCCGGAAUCAUUGGGCGUAAAGAGCGUGUAGGCGGCCAGAUAAGUCCGCUGUGAAAUCUCGAGGCUCAACUUCGAGCUGUCGGUGGAAACUGUCUGGCUAGAGUCCGGAAGAGGAGAAUGGAAUUCCUGGUGUAGCGGUGAAAUGCGCAGAUAUCAGGAGGAACACCAAUGGCGAAGGCAGCUCGCUGGAACGGUACUGACGCUGAGGCGCGAAAGCGUGGGGAGCGAACAGG